rnacentral:pre_miRNA from 1 species
GCAUCAAUGCCGGUUGUUAUAGUUCGACUGCAUGGCCCUAUCACAGCCAGCUUUGAUGAGC